UUUUGUAUAAUGGGUCAGCGACUUAUAUUCUGUAGCAAGGUUAACCGAAUAGGGGAGCCGAAGGGAAACCGAGUCUUAACUGGGCGUUAAGUUGCAGGGUAUAGACCCGAAACCCGGUGAUCUAGCCAUGGGCAGGUUGAAGGUUGGGUAACACUAACUGGAGGACCGAACCGACUAAUGUUGAAAAAUUAGCGGAUGACUUGUGGCUGGGGGUGAAAGGCCAAUCAAACCGGGAGAUAGCUGGUUCUCCCCGAAAGCUAUUUAGGUAGCGCCUCGUGAAUUCAUCUCCGGGGGUAGAGCACUGUUUCGGCAAGGGGGUCAUCCCGACUUACCAACCCGAUGCAAACUGCGAAUACCGGAGAAUGUUAUCACGGGAGACACACGGCGGGUGCUAACGUCCGUCGUGAAGAGGGAAACAACCCAGACCGCCAGCUAAGGUCCCAAAGUCAUGGUUAAGUGGGAAACGAUGUGGGAAGGCCCAGACAGCCAGGAUGUUGGCUUAGAAGCAGCCAUCAUUUAAAGAAAGCGUAAUAGCUCACUGGUCGAGUCGGCCUGCGCGGAA
rnacentral:rRNA from 1 species